AACAUCAGAAGAUUAAGAAAAAUCAGACCCCUUUCUCUUUCAUAGAGGGCAACGGCGCACCCCCUCCCUUUUUCUUCUAGACUCUCAUCUUAACCUCUAAAGACCGAAGAAUCGGACUUCAAUGGAGAAAACCUAACAGCUCUUCUUCUUCAGCACACCACCAAACCAGUUGUUUCUUCUUCUUCCUCAACCCUUACCCACGGACAGAGAACGAGAGGACAAAAGGAAAACUUUGAGGAUUUUUGGAAUUUCCUUUCGAUUCUUUCAUUUCUUCGGAGAUUUCAGAAAAAAGCAUGAACAUAUAAAAUAUUACUUCUUUCUUUAAGAUGGUUGAUGUCCGAAAUUUUAACAAAAAAUGCUAAAAUAUUUUAAGUUUCUACUUCUUAGUUGAUUUGGGUUUCAAAUGUGGAGGUUGAUUGAGUUGAGUUGUUGUUCAAGUUUUGUUCCACUGAGCUCCAGUUUGUAGCGGUUUAUCAGCUAUUAUUUGGCAAUUUUAAGGACCUAUUACUGUCGUUAAGAUGUAGGUGGUUCCAUAGCAGACAGUGUUGAUCGCAGCUAGUGGUGCAUCCUCUUCUCAGGAGACCUGGUGAGCCCCAUUUCAUCCCGGGGUUAUGUAUUGUAUCUUUUAUUGAUAUUGUUACCAUGUUUUGAGGUAUAGUCGGGGCCUUGUCGCUGGCAUUAUCAUAAUUGUCUUUUGUAUCUUUAGAGGCUUCGUAGAUAUUAUGUAGGUUGUGUAUGGGUGCUAGAAAGGCUAGACAGAUUUUGUUGUGUUUUGGACUCUUGUUCCACUAAAUCGUAAAGUGUAUGUAUUUUGGGAAGUUAACAAUGAUGUAGUAAAAUGAAAUGAAUCAGUAAUGUUGUAUAUGUAUGAUCCUUCUACUGUUUAAACUAA